rnacentral:sRNA from 1 species
CGCCAGACGUGAAGACGGGUGGAAAAGACUUGGGGGUCCGAGCGCCGCGGACCUCUAGCCUUACGUCACUUCCGCUUCCUUUCCCACAGGGCGGGGCCAAGGGCCCCAUCUCCCACUAAGCCUCUGCGGAGGUCCCAGCGGAAAUCAGGCUCUGAACUCCCAAGCAUCCUCCCUGAAAUCUGGCCGAAGGUGAGCCCCAGAUUUCUCACUUCCUCCCCUUGUGGCCCCUCACCUAAUUUGAGCUCACGUUCAUCCCUCUUCUCCAGACACCCAGUGCGGCUGCAAUCAGAAAGCCCAUCGUCUUAAAGAGGAUCGUGGCCCAUGCUGUAGAGGUAAAGGCUAAGGAGAGUGUUGUGGGUGGGUAGGUGGGCAAAACUGGGGACCAGCUAUGUGAUCAAUUGGUAUUGUCCCCCGCAGGUCCCAGCUGUCCAAUCACCUCGCAGGAGCCCUAGGAUUGCCUUUUUCUUGGAGAAAGAAAACGAGCCCCCUGGCAGGGAGCUUACUAAGGAGGACCUUUUCAAGACACACAGCGUCCCUGCCACCCCCACCAGCACUCCUGUGCCGAACCCUGAGGCCGAGUCCAGCUCCAAGGAAGAAGAGCUGGAUGCCAGAGACUUGGAAAUGUCUAAGAAAGUCAGGCGUUCCUACAGCCGGCUAGAGACCCUGGGCUCUGCCUCUACCUCCACCCCAGGCCGCCGGUCCUUCUUUGGCUUCGAGGGGCUGCUGGGGGCAGAAGACUUGUCCGGAGUCUCGCCAGUGGUGUGCUCCAAAUUCACCGAGGUCCCCAGGGUCUGUGCAAAGCCCUGGGCCCCAGACAUGACUCUCCCUGGAAUCUCCCCACCACCCGAGAAACAGAAACGUAAGAAGAAGAAGAUGCCAGAGAUCUUGAAAACGGAGCUGGAUGAGUGGGCUGCGGCCAUGAAUGCCGAGUUUGA